UGUAACUGCAAGUACUUUAAAUCCCCAAAAAGUGAAGUAGAGUUUGACUACACAAGUGUGAUACAGUAAGCAUGUCCAUGGAAGCUCUAGCUAUGGCUGGGGCAGACUACUUAGAGUGCAAUAUCGAUCUUCAUCUCUGGGAAUGUAGCCAGAAGCUGGACCCUCCCCCACCUCAUCUUAUAGUCCCUGUAGGAAGAAGUAAUAGCCUUGGAAAGAGUUGUAGAUCCAAAAAUAAUUGCAAGAAAGAUGAUGAUGGUCGCAUAGAAAGAAGCUCAAGCAGCAGUGACAAAAACCCAUCAACAUUGCCACCAUCUUGCAGUGAAGAGUUCCACCAAGAAGAGGUUGAAAUGCGAGUACCCCAUCGUUGGAAGAAAGUCUGGUUUAAGUUUUUUGGCUCAAGUGGUAUCUGUAGUUGUUUCUCCAUAUAGAACUUCUCCUUGGAUCAUGGAUAUAGAUAAAGGGUAAUUGCAAGAAAGGAAAAAAGAGCAAAAGGAGCAUCAAGGAUGAUCACUUGUAUUACUCUCUAUUUUAAUGAAAGGUUUAGAUUUAUUGGGAGAAGCUAA